rnacentral:tRNA from 1 species
CAAUUUGGGGACAGAGCAGGCCUUGCCCUCCGAAGGCAGAGGUCACAGGUUCGAAUCCUGUCGGGUGCGCCA